rnacentral:rRNA from 1 species
CCUACGGGGGGCAGCAGUGAGGAAUAUUGGUCAAUGGGCGGGAGCCUGAACCAGCCAAGUCGCGUGAGGGAAGACGGUCCUACGGAUUGUAAACCUCUUUUGCCGGGGAGCAACGGGGUCCUUGCGAGGGCCCGAUGAGAGUACCCGGAGAAAAAGCAUCGGCUAACUCCGUGCCAGCAGCCGCGGUAAUACGGAGGAUGCGAGCGUUAUCCGGAUUUAUUGGGUUUAAAGGGUGCGUAGGCGGUUUUUUAAGUUAGUGGUUAAACGUCGGGGCUUCACCUUGAUUUGCCAUUAAUACUGUAAGACUCGAGUUCAGACGAGGUAGGCGGAAUAAGUUAAGUAGCGGUGAAAUGCUUAGAUAUAACUUAGAACUCCGAUAGCGAAGGCAGCUUACCAGACUGCGACUGACGCUGAAGCACGAGAGCGUGGGUAGCGAACAGGAUUAGAUACCCUUGUAGUC